CCCAACCCGGUAGAAACAUGCCCGCCCGUAGGAACCCCACGAAAAAAAAACAUCCUGAACUGGCCACCUCGCCUCCCUCCCGAGCACCGCCCGCCGCCACCCUCCUGCGCGCCGGCCACGGCCUCCCUCCUGCGCGUCACCGGCCACCGCCUCCCUCCCCGCACUAACGUCCGCCGCAUCCCUCCCCCGCACUGACGGCCGCCGCAUCCCUCCCCCGCACCGACGGCCGCCGCAUCCCUCCCCGCACCGACGGCCGCUAUAUCCCUCCCCCGUGCAAACGACCGCUGCAAGCUCCUCCCGCUCAUGGCCGCCGCAAGCUCCUCCCGUACGCCAACCUCCACCCCGCCUUCCCCCUCUGCUCUCCCUCACGCUCGGGCGCCAGCCAUCCUUCUUCCCCGCGCGCGGCACCUCGAUCCACCGCCGGCCGACCUCCCUCGUCCCGUUUCCUGGCCGCCGUCCAUGUCGUGCCAUUGUUUCUGGAAGAAAACCAACUUGGACUUCGUUGACGGCCUUUGCACCAUUUUGAGCGCUGACAGCUCCUUCCUUUGCCAUUGAUACAGCCAUCGACAUGUACUGGGUGUUCCUUCGCAAGUUCAAUUAGUGUCAUCACACAAGUUCAGAAGUUUGAUUUUGUGAAGAAGUAUGAAAAUUGUCAGUGCAAAUGUGGAAAACCAGAAAGUUCUAAUAAUGGUGUACCAAAAGUUCAAGGUUAGUAAUCUGGGGACGUUAGAGCAACUGCCGAUGGAGGCGGAGUCAAAAUCUCGUGACUUUCUACUGCAGAUCUUCAGCAUGGACUUCGAUGAAGACACUCCUCUGAUGUUAAUGCGCUUCUGCAUUUUAAUAAAGAAGUUACAGAAUUUCAGUUCCUCGGUACUUAUAAGAUCUUGAGAGGAUGACAGAGGAUGCCCAUGUGUACUGUGUACAAGCCAGCCAGCCAUGUAUAAGGAUCCAAUGGAAGACUGGAUUUGGUUGUUGUUAAUUAGCAGCCACCUAAGCCUAGCAAUUGACCGUGGAGCACGUACUGGAUCCCUGACACGAUGCAAUUAGUCAUCAGUGUCGACGACUGAUUUAUUUUGUUUUGUACAAGUUAAAACAUCAGUGGCCAUAGGGAAGGAGACCUUCCCAAAUCGUGCCCCUGGACAAUGCAACAAUGAAUUGGACGCCGUUUCCGCCUCUCUUCCAGCAGCGCCGAUGUCCCCUUCUAGCUCAGCACCGGUUUCCCCGCCUCGUGAUACGGUCUGCGGUUGCUUGUGAGUUGUCUGCUAGGUGUUGUUUAAGUGUCACAGACGGCGUGUUGUCUCCUGGCAUCUGGAUUAGCUGCCGACUGCAAAUAAAAGCACGAGGGAGGCUAGAGCGACUGCAGACCGGUGACGAGAACCACUCUUCAGUUCUGCUAUUCGUGUAUUGGAAGUACGUAUCCUCUAUCCAGGCAGGAGGUAGAGUACAAGUUUUGGAAGGCCGGGGAGUUCUACCGCUGACAUACACCAAGUUCAGAGAUGUUGCAUGGAGUGAGCCGACACCGCGGUAAAAAAUGGUUUAUUAGCAUACUGUUUUUUUGGUACUUAUGCAUACAGUUGUAGAAGUGAAAUUUGUUGGGUGCAUGUGCAGAAAAAAUGUCAGUUCUGUUUUCAAAAUUCUGUAAGUUUGUUUUGAUUCUAUGAAAAAAUUUAAGUUUCUCGUGUGUGCUGCUACAAAUCUGAACUAUUUGUCUAAACAUUCUAGUACUGAUGCAAUCGCCUAAAAUAAGUUCAAGAAAAAAUCAGUAAGUUUGGUGCGUGUGCUGCUACAAAUCUAAAAUUCUUCUCGAGUCAUUCUAGUACUGAUGUCUCUUUUAGUCUGUAGCGGAGAGAAUAUUUUUAUGCUCAUUUGUUCAUAGUAUGAAUCUCGUUUAUAGUUUCUUUUCUCAUUCUUUUAAUUAAGAAAAAAGUUUAUUGAGCUUGAAGCAUAAACCUCUCGGCAAUGUAACAUUCUGCUGAUAUUUAAUAAUCGGUAUGCUGUUGUAGUGGGACAAGGUCAUCAUCUUGAGGAGGUCAAUGAGGUCAGUGAUACCAUGCACGCUGAAACGAUGGCCUUACACUAGGCUGUAUGUAUAACUUGGUCCAUGGGAUGCAGGCUUGUGCUGCUUGAAACGGAUGCGACUAACCUGUAGAAAGCAUUACAGGAAGUGAUUUAAGAGAUGAAUGUGGCCAACGACGGUCGCCGCUCCUCGAAGGGCCAGCUCUUCCGAGGGACCGGUGGUGGAGCACCGAGGUGGACUGGUGAGCUGGGUGAUACCGUAAACCGUUAUAAAAUUACGAGAACCAUAUAAAAACAGAAUAAACUCUAGUUUGUGAAAACAUGCUCAGUACAAACCCAUACGAACAUUAGCUCAAGUACUCUUUUGUCGGAACCAUUCAAAACCACUCUGUGAAAAAUACCUCAGUACAAAUAUGCACAUAGAUCAGUACAAAUACUCUGUUUUUUCUGA